rnacentral:tRNA from 1 species
GGGGAGAUGACUCAGUGGGUAAGAGUAUUUGCUUUGCAAACAUGAGGACCUGAGUUAGAAUUCCCAGUACCCUG